rnacentral:rRNA from 1 species
UACAGAGGGUGCGAGCGUUAAUCGGAAUUACUGGGCGUAAAGGGCGCGUAGGCGGCUCGACAAGUCCCGCGUGAAAGCCCCCGGCUCAACUGGGGAACUGCGCGGGAAACUGUCGGACUUGAGUUCGGGAGAGGGAAGCGGAAUUCCGGGUGUAGCGGUGAAAUGCGUAGAUAUCCGGAGGAACACCGGUGGCGAAGGCGGCUUCCUGGACCGACACUGACGCUGAGGCGCGAAAGCUAGGGGAGCAAACGGG